rnacentral:rRNA from 1 species
UAGAGAGAAGCUUGCUUCUCUUGAGAGCGGCGGACGGGUGAGUAAUGCCUAGGAAUCUGCCUGGUAGUGGGGGAUAACGUUCGGAAACGGACGCUAAUACCGCAUACGUCCUACGGGAGAAAGCAGGGGACCUUCGGGCCUUGCGCUAUCAGAUGAGCCUAGGUCGGAUUAGCUAGUUGGUGGGGUAAUGGCUCACCAAGGCGACGAUCCGUAACUGGUCUGAGAGGAUGAUCAGUCACACUGGAACUGAGACACGGUCCAGACUCCUACGGGAGGCAGCAGUGGGGAAUAUUGGACAAUGGGCGAAAGCCUGAUCCAGCCAUGCCGCGUGUGUGAAGAAGGUCUUCGGAUUGUAAAGCACUUUAAGUUGGGAGGAAGGGCAGUUACCUAAUACGUAAUUGUUUUGACGUUACCGACAGAAUAAGCACCGGCUAACUCUGUGCCAGCAGCCGCGGUAAUACAGAGGGUGCAAGCGUUAAUCGGAAUUACUGGGCGUAAAGCGCGCGUAGGUGGUUUGUUAAGUUGGAUGUGAAAUCCCCGGGCUCAACCUGGGAACUGCAUUCAAAACUGACUGACUAGAGUAUGGUAGAGGGUGGUGGAAUUUCCUGUGUAGCGGUGAAAUGCGUAGAUAUAGGAAGGAACACCAGUGG